GUGAAUAAAAAUUCUUUAAUACCUAUGUAGCAGUUAUAAGUAAUGGAUGUAAUUUGUCUGUAUUGGAAAAAUAUCUGUGUCCUAAAGCUUAUUUGUUUUUCCCCAGUUAAAUCAAUUGAUCCUACUACCUACUUCUCUAUGCAAACAUUGCUUGAGAAGAUAAUUGUAACAAUUAUUAACAGUUUGCAGUUCUGCACCUGUGAUCUGAUUAAAUAGUUUUAAAGACAUCCAGUUCAUUUUUUGGAAAAUUUAAAGAGAAUAUUUAUUCUAGUCAUGAUGAGCUGGCAUUGUAGUAGUUUCAAUUUCAUGAUAAAUCCUCAACACAGAAAUAUGUUCCGAACUUUUUUGUCUUUUCCUGCUGAAGUGCUAGAGAGUAUUUUUAGCAAAUUAGAAAAUGCUUAGAGAGUGGAUUUCAGUGGCAUUACUUAGGCAAAGCUGAGUGUGAGCAUAGGUGUUUCUAAACUAGAGCCUUAGCUUUUACUCACGACUAUAAUUUCUUGAAAAUAUUUAGGCAGUAAUCUGAUUUUCAAGUUUUCUCUAUACUUUUAUCUGAUAACUUAAGGCAUGGGCAAUCAAUAAUAUAAUCUAUUGAUAAGAUAUGUACAAAUGUGGAAAUUAUCAGUUUAUGUUGUAAACGUCUCUCAAAUCCAAGCAGCCCAGACUUUGAUGAAGUUAAGACUGAAUUUAAGUCCUAACUUUAGGACUCAAAUGCAAAGACUUUAAUCCAAAAUUUUGCCCAGUUGUCACUUAUUUCAUUCUUAAAUAUUUACUUUACCGGUAAUGGCAGACUUAGCAAACAUGCUAAAUUUUGUGUAUAGUGAAAGUCUAUGCCUUCUUACUGUGAUAGAGACUCAGAAAUGACAAGGUAGCAGCACUGAAUCUUCAUGUUUUAUAAUGAAAUAUUGCUGUUUCUCUUAGUCAUUUCCAAAAUGAUUUUGAAUCAGCUUCCACAACAGAUCAGGAAAAUAGAGUGGGGACCUUUGCAAAAUAACUGACCAUUACUCUUCCUAGAUUAUUACAGCAAAUGCAAGAGUUAAUUAUGUUUUCAGGUUGGAUUUUCAUUAACAUGUGCUUCUUCAAGUGACUAGAAGUCACUAGGAGGAGUUGUGAAGGAUUCUAGGCAGAACACUAGAGUGAAAUAAGCACAGGAGCUCUGGAGUGAAAAAGGCAUUGGUUUUAUCUUGUAAUAAAACUGCUGUUUCUUUGUUAAAAGAAACACACUUUCACAGAGAUUUUUUUUUAUUAUUUCUGUGGCUUGAUGAUCUUAAUUUACACUGUCUUGGUUAUGUAAAAUACUUGUUUUUUAAAAAAAGGCAUACAACAUGAUGUUUGAUAUUCUUGGAUUUUCUUACCGAUGUGUGAAAAAAGAACAGCAGUCAAGUGAAAGUGGUGUCUGGUAGCUAUGCACACUCACCCAAAUAAUCUGCCUGUGGAUCUGAUUCAAUAGGCAAAACUUAAAUGUCUUGUUCUGAAGCCAUGUUUUUACUCCAAAGCUUUGUUGUCACUGGCCAAGCAGAAUAAUUCAGAAUGACUUUUUACUCAACAUCCAGCUUUAAAUUGUAGCUUUACAAGCCUACUGUUUAAUGAUAUCACAGGACUGAAAUAUAACCUCUCUAGAAGAUCUUUUAUUUGCAGAUCAGAAACACCAUUUCAGAGAUAUAGUGUUUGUGAAAGAGGAUCCAGGGCCAAAACAUCAUAGUGAGAUAGGGUCAGGAAUCCUCUAUGAUAAAUUCCAGGAAACGGAUAGGAAGUCUAAAAGCAUGAUUUCAAUGUACAGUAGUAAUUACGGGAGUACACCACUGCUGUGUUUGCCACUGACUCUGCUUUCUUUUGAAGGAGGCAAUACAGCAGGUACUAUGGGAGAGGAGGGGUUGUCCCCACUCUGCUUGUCCAAGACCUGUAUUAGCAUGAUGAACCUGUGUACCAAGGGAUGCACCUUUGUCAGAUCAGCCAGGAAAGCUGCUACUUUGCUGCUAUAUUUGUGGUUUUGCCCUGGAAUGAACAUUGAUUCUUUCAUGGAUUUUGAUUGCAGCUCCUGAAUUUUCAUUGAUGAGUAUCUUAAACCCCAAAUCAUAAAAAUUCAAAAAUUCAUAAACAUUUCAGUUGAGCAGGCAGAGAAAUAUUUAGUUGCUGAUGCUGAGGAAAGUUAGUCUAUGAGAGUUGGGAGAUAACUCAGUGGGUGUAAAGCUGGCGAGGCAGGUAUCCUCUGACUGCUUUAUUGCAGCCUAUAGUCAGCCUGCAUUUUGCUCAGCGUGAUGAAAUAUUCUGCAAUUUAUUCCUUUUUAUUUUUUUUUUUUUUUUUUUUGUGAAUCACUUGUUUUCUACUUAGUAUUUCUCACUGCUCCCGAGUGAAGAAAGGUUUAAUAUUUUUCCUACACAGUACAUUUUUUACCCUCCUUCAGUUCAGUCUCUCUCCGGCCAGUGGCUGGGGAAUGACUCCAGGCAAAGCUGCCUCACAGCCCUGCCGUGGCAGCUGGGCUGCCUGCAGACCCAGGUACCGCAGAUUGACAGUGAUGGGACAGCCCUUCAGCCCUCCCUCCAUGUGUCUUUCCCUCCUCACAUGUAUUUGUCUUUGUGUAUAUUGGCAAUCUCCUGGAAUAGCGACUCUCCCAACUGAGCCCCUGUGCAAGGCUCAGAGUUUGGAGCAUCAGACAUCUCCUCUCGUCCAUCCCCAUUGCAAAACCUCAUCACGCCGCCGCAGGAAGAAGCAUAUAUUUGGACUCACUUCAAUGGAAAGUCUUAUUUCCCAUACCAAGUUAACAGUGAACCAUUCCUGGAGCAAGUGAAUCUGAGGACAAAAUUUGGGCUUCUAGGCCAAGUUCCUCAAGACUGAAACAUUGGAGGGAAGGCAAAAUGCCACUCAAAUUUACAGGGUGGUAUAAAUAAAUAAUAUUCGUGGAAAAUGAAACUACACUGAAAGUCAUCCUUGCUUUGAGUACAAACAAGGAGCUCCUUGUGCAGCGAGUGGAACAAAUGAAGCCUGGUUUCCUAUGGAUUUGUGCCUCCUGGUUGGAUUCCCUUGUGUCUAGUAAAGUAUUCCUGCAUGUGAAAACCGGUGACGUCACUGAUUGCUUUGACCGCCGCUGUAACCCAGACCAAAGAACAUCAGGCAAUAUUUUGCACUGAGUUCCAGCUACAGAUGCAAAAUAGCAACUGAAGGUCAGGACUUUGAUUGAUGUCUAGUCUGUAAAAAGAUAAACAGCUACCCGUGAAGAUAAGAAACCGCCUGCCUGAUGGAAAUAAAGGGAUCCAGUGAAGAAUGGGGAGACCGCAGACUCUAAUUUUACAAUUGGCCCCAACGGACAUGCGAGGGGUGGGAAGCUUAGAUUGUAAGGGUAUAAUUGUCUGAGGGUUUUUUUGCUGAGGGUCCCUCCUCUCAAGGCACCCAGCUCAAGCUGCUCUAUGCUGUACCUUGCAAAUAAAUUACUUAUUUAAGACAA